AUACAUUUACUCAUUCAUUCACAUCACAUUUUUCUUUAACCAAAAUACAUUGUUUGCACCAUUCUUACAUUACCCAAAAUAUAAUUUAUAUUUCUUGCUUUACAUUAUUUACAGUUCAACACCUACAGUUGAGAAAACCAAAAUGUAGGGUAUGCCUAUAUCUUGAGGGCCGCUAGCUACGGCGCAACACCCUUGCCUCGAUCCUCCGCCGCCCCGCUCGCGCACGGAUCUGCAGGGUUAGUGGUAAUGAGAACUAGAACGAAGUUCCUAGUGGGUUCGGCCGCCGACCACGCCGAUUCGCCCACUAGGUCUAAUUCAGGCAUAUGUAUUUCAAUAAAGAAGGAUAACAAACCAACUAAUGCACUUCUA
rnacentral:lncRNA from 1 species